UACGGAGGGUGCAAGCGUUAUCCGGAUUCACUGGGUUUAAAGGGUGCGUAGGUGGGUUGGUAAGUCAGUGGUGAAAUCUCCGUGCUUAACAUGGAAACUGCCAUUGAUACUACUGGUCUUGAAUUUUCUGGAGGUAAGCGGAAUAUGUCAUGUAGCGGUGAAAUGCUUAGAUAUGACACAGAACACCAAUUGCGUAGGCAGCUCGCUAAACUCUUACUGACGCUGAGGCACGAAAGCAUGGGGAUCAAACAGG
rnacentral:rRNA from 1 species